rnacentral:rRNA from 1 species
UUUCGCAAUGCCCGAAAGGGUGACGAAGCGACGCCGCGUGAGCGAAGAAGGCCUUCGGGUUGUAAAGCUCUGUCAGGGGUUAUGAAACGUAGACUGGUUAAUACCUGGUUUAUUUGACAAAGGCCCCAAAGGAAGCCACGGCUAACUCUGUGCCAGCAGCCGCGGUAAUACAGAGGUGGCAAGCGUUGUUCGGUAUUAUUGGGCGUAAAGAGCACGUAGGUGGUUUUGUAAGUCAGAUGUGAAAGCCUUCUGUCUAAAGGAAGAACGGCAUCUGAAACUGCGGAUCUUGAGUGUAGGAGGGGAGAGUGGAACUUCUGGUGGAGCGGUGAAAUGCGUAGAUAUCAGAAGGAACGUCGGCGGCGAAAGCGACUCUCUGGCCUAUUACUGACACUGAGUGUGCGAAAGUUAGGGGAGCAAACGGGAUUAGAUACCCCGGUAGUCCUAACCGUAAACGAUGGGCACUAAGUAGAGGGGUUUUA